rnacentral:rRNA from 1 species
GCGGCGUGCCUAAUACAUGCAAGUCGCGCCGGAACGAGGGAGCAUGCUCCUUUAGGUCCGCGAGGGACGGGUGACUAACACGUGGGCAACCUGCCCUGCAGACUGGGAUAACUUCGGGAAACCGGAGCUAAUACCGGAUAACACCGAAAACCGCAUGGUUUUCGGUUGAAAGGCGGCUUUUAGCUGUCACUGCAGGAUGGGCCCGCGGCGCAUUAGCUAGUUGGUGAGGUAACGGCUCACCAAGGCGACGAUGCGUAGCCGACCUGAGAGGGUGACCGGCCACACUGGGACUGAAACACGGCCCAGACUCUUACGGGAGGCAGGGGUAGGGAAUCUUCCGCAAUGGACGAAAGUCUGACGGAGCAACGCCGCGUGAGCGAAGAAGGUCUUGGGAUCGUAAAGCUCUGUUGUCAGGGAAGAACAAGUACCGUUCGAACAGGGCGGUACCUUGACGGUACCUGACGAGGAAGCCACGGCUAACUACGUGCCAGCAGCCGCGGUAAUACGUAGGUGGCAAGCGUUGUCCGGAAUUAUUGGGCGUAAAGCGCGCCGCAGGCGGGUCCCUUAAGUCUGAUGUGAAAUCUCGCGGCUCAACCGCGAGCGGCACUUGGAAACUGGGGAACUUGAGUGCAGGAAAGGGGAGCGGAAUUCCCCGUGUAGCGGGGAAAUGCCUAGAGAUGGGGAGGACACCGUGCGAAGGCGGCUCUUUGGCCUGUAACUGACGCUAGGCGGAAAGCGUGGGGGAGCGAACAGGAUUAGAUACCCUGGUAGUCCACGCCGUAAACGAUGAGUGCUAAGUGUUAGAGGGUAUCCACCCUUUAGUGCUGCAGCAAACGCAUUAAGCACUCCGCCUGGGGAGUACGGCCGCAAGGCUGAAACUCAAAGGAAUUGACGGGGACCCGCACAAGCGGUGGAGCAUGUGGUUUAAUUCGAAGCAACGCGAAGAACCUUACCAGGUCUUGACAUCCCCUGACAACCCUAGAGAUAGGGCGUUCCCCUUUCGGGGACAGGGUGACAGGUGGUGCAUGGUUGUCGUCAGCUCGUGUCGUGAGAUGUUGGGUUAAGUCCCGCAACGAGCGCAACCCUUGACCUUAGUUGCCAGCAUUCAGUUGGGCACUCUAAGGUGACUGCCGGCUAAAAGUAGAAGGAAAGGUGGGGAUGACGUCAAAUCAUCAUGCCCCUUAUGACCUGGGCUACACACGUGCUACAAUGGGUGGUACAAAGGGCAGCGAAACCGCGAGGUGGAGCGAAUCCCAAAAAACCACUCUCAGUUCGGAUUGCAGGCUGCAACUCGCCUGCAUGAAGCCGGAAUCGCUAGUAAUCGCGGAUCAGCAUGCCGCGGGAAUACGUUCCCGGGUCUUGUACACACCGCCC